rnacentral:tmRNA from 1 species
AACAUUUUAAAUAUUAAUAAUUCAUAUAUAAUAAUUAUGUUGGUUUUCCAACUACGACGAUAAACGAAUUUCGUAAUAACCAUUACGGACGUGGGGGCAGUACCCACCACCUCCACCAAGUGCAAUUUAUGGGGGUGAAAUAGGAUCGACGGGUGACUAAAGGCUAUUCUUUCGUUCGGAAUUGUUCCACCGUAACGGGCUAAAUUUUAAAUGCUAACGAAAGUUACGCUAUUGCUGCAUAAUUAAUUUAGGUUAAUUAUAGAAGCACGGUCUGGGGCACCGGGUAACAGAACGCCCCUAAA